GCAUAUCACCUUUCCCCUAAAUUUGCUCCUUCUCCCCCAAUCUCAACGACACAAUCUUUACUUUUUCUACUACCAAAUCACCUCUAUCUCUCCUCAUUAUUUUUCCACCACCAACGUUCAAAACAAAUAGAUUUCUUCAACUUUGAAAUCCCGCCCAAAAUCACAAUUUCUAGUUUUUUCCAUCUAUAUAUACUUUAUUAAAUGCUUCAGCAGAAGGGGAGGCAAAAAAAAAAGAAAAAAAAAAGGCGAGAACAACGGAAAACCCUCUCAUUUGAGCUAUUUUCUACUUUUGCUCAAAGAAAAUUUUAACAUUUUGAUAUCUUUCAAUCUCUGUCCGUUUCUAUUUUGCUUAAGGAGAGUAGAUCUGAGACUUCAAAGCACUAGUUCACUUCACACACAAGAGCCGAAGAGUUUCACUUUGAAACUCAACGACGCCGCUUAUGGAGUCCACAUAUCUGCACGGAUCUUUCUUGCCUCUCAAAUAUCAAUUUACAGAGGGGAUUUUGUCCUCCCAUUAAAGCCGAACGCGCUACUUAAUCCACUUUUCUCUGUUUGCUUUGCUUACUAAUGAUGGUGAAUGAUUUUAUUUUCAGUUAUGUACUUGCUGUUGAAGGUAGGAUUAUUAUACAAUUAAUUGAUGACUAAACCUUAAGUAAUUAUUUAAAGUCCUUGCCUUAUAA